GCCUUCGAGGUGUAGUGGUCACUCUCGACUCGUAUUCGAGAGGUCCGUGGUUCGAGUCCCGGCGAGGGCA
rnacentral:tRNA from 1 species